UUUCGUGGUUUUUUUGCAGUUUGGCCCCUACAAAAGUUACUUAUUAGCCUGCAGUUUUUGCUUGCUUAUCCGAUCUCCUUCCGAGAUCGAACCUCCGUGAUUGUCCGGCCGGCACCGAUCGAGAAGGAGACGGAGGGGCUGCCUUCCCCGCUCGAUUCGUGGCGUGGGGGUCGCCGUGCGCGCCGACCGGGUUGUAACGCCGCCCGUCCAUCCUCCGCGGGAGACGUCUCCCUAUUCUGGUGUGGUGCUCCAAUCUCUGUGAUGGACUACGUACGCUCCAGGAAGAGAAAGGGCUCGAGCUCGGAGCUGGACGUCGCGAGGAGCAUCGAGCUGCUCAUCCUCGAGGCCUCCUUGCUGGGGGUCUACACCGGCCAGCUGGUGAUCAUCCUCUGGGCCUCCUUCCGCGCCCCCUUCCAGAAGUUGAAGUUGAUAUUCUAGGACGCACCGGCGAACGAUGUAGAUUGCGCCACUGAAGAACAAUCUUGGAGUACAUACGUUUCUGCUGUUAAUAAUCUGUGUAGGAUGCUUGUUUACCAUCCAAAACAGCCGCAAAGGAGUUCUGCUAUGCUGCUAGGGACGCCUUGCUCAUGUAUAAGGCUAUUGUGCGAGUUCAGUUGGACUGAAAUUCAGGGCAGGAAUAACCAUGCCUUGUGGAUCUGCUGCUGCUAGCCCUGCAGUUUUUGCUUGCUUAUCCGAUCUCCUUCCGAGAUCGAACCUCCGUGAUUGUCCGGCCGGCACCGAUCGAGAAGGAGACGGAGGGGCUGCCUUCCCGCUCGAUUCGUGGCGUGGGGGGUCGCCGUGCGCGCCGACCGGGUUGUAACGCCGCCCGUCCAUCCUCCGCGGGAGACGUCUCCCUAUUCUGGUGUGGUGCUCCAGUCUCUGUGAUGGACUACGUACGCUCCAGGAAGAGAAAGGGCUCGAGCUCGGAGCUGGAUGUCGUGAGGAGCAUCGAGCUGCUCAUCCUCGAGGCCUCCUUGCUGGGGGUCUACACCGGCCAGCUGGUGAUCAUCCUCUGGGCCUCCUUCCGCGCCCCCUUCCAGAAGUUGAAGUUGAUAUUCUAGGACGCACCGGCGAACGAUGUAGAUUGCGCCACUGAAGAACAAUCUUGGAGUACAUACGUUUCUGCUGUUAAUAAUCUGUGUAGGAUGCUUGUUUACCAUCCAAAACAGCCGCAAAGGAGUUCUGCUAUGCUGCUAGGGACGCCUUGCUCAUGUAUAAGGCUAUUGUGCGAGUUCAGUUGGACUGAAAUUCAGGGCAGGAAUAACCAUGCCUUGUGGAUCUGCUGCUGCUAGGAACCUGGAGGUGCCCCUGGGACGGCGAGGCAAUGGAUAAGCAGGAUCAAGGGGGAGGUGACGGCGUGACGCGCCGGCCUUCUCCCCUGGCUGGCACUGUGCUCCUGGUGGGUGGGGGGCGGCGUUCUGCUGCUGCUGAUGGCCUGCUGGUUGGGGCGGCAAUGAAGAAGCGGGCGAGGUGGCGCUGGCGAUCAAGGGAUGCGAGGAAGAAGCGGGGAGGUGCCGAACUGCCGGGCGAGCUCCUGGAGGUGCCUGAGCAAGGGGCCAGCAGCCGGCGGGGGAGACGCGGGGGGAAGUCGCGGUCAGAGGAAGAAAAAUGAAGUGGCCCGGGUCGAUGGAUUUUGCUUCUAUACUGAAUUUAACUGAUGCUGUUAACUGAAGUUUGGUCUUGGUUUGCGUUGUAUAUAUAUUGCUGAUUCGUUUCUGGUGAUUGCUUCGGUUGUGAUAAAAUGACAGAAAGAAGAGAUGCUGCUGAUUGCUUUGGUGGGAAAGUGAAUUUUUAUAGGAUCAACAAUCAA